rnacentral:tRNA from 1 species
GGGCUUUAGAUGGACUUACCUUUUAUACGUCUGGACUCAUAAUCCAUUGGUCGAAGGUUCGAGUCCUUCCGGCCCACCA